UACGUAGGGGCAGCGUUGUCCGGAAUCAUUGGGCGUAAAGGCGCGCGUAGGCGGCCAGAUAAGUCCGGUGUGAAAGUCACAGGCUCAACCUGUGAAUGCCGCUGGAAACUGUCUGGCUUGAGUGCGGUAGGGGAGACGUGGAAUUCCGUGGUGUAGCGGUGAAAUGCGCAGAUAUCAGGAAGAACACCCGUGGCGAAGGCGGCUCUCUGGGACGGUACUGACGCUGAGACGCGAAAGCGUGGGGAGCGAACAGG
rnacentral:rRNA from 1 species